CACACAGCAAAGCGACAAAAACAGACCCGCCCUUAGCCUGCUGCAACCCAGUCGGGGAGACUGACCUUUAAGAGUCACGCAAAUAAGAAAUGACAGGUGACAAGUUUGCCAGGAGCAGUCCGUCAUCCCCAACAAGACAACGUUCUGUUUACUUCUUCAAAAAUUUUUCUAAUGUUUUCAUAUCUGAAUCAGCUAAUAAGAUAUCAUCCAUAUAGUGGUAAAUUAUGGAUUGAGGAAAUUGAUUACGAAUUGUCUCCAACGGCUGUUGUACAAAAUAUUGGCACAAAGUAAGACUGUUUAACAUCCCCUGUGGUAAGACCCUCCAGUGACAGCUUCUAUUCAAAGUGGGUACUGAGAAAGCAAACCUUUCUCUAUCAUGUUCAUGUAAAGGAACUGUGAAAAAGCAAUCCUUUAAAUCAAUCACCAUAAUAGGCUAUUCCUUAGGUAACAAGGAAGGCAAUGGGAUUCCAGAUUGUAACGAUCCCAUUGGCUGAAUAAUUUUGUUAAUUGCUCUGAGAUCUGUUAACAUCCUCCAUUUGCCAGAUUUCUUUUUGAUGACAAAUACAGGAGAAUUCCAAGGGCUGUUGGACUCCUCUAUAUGGUACGGCCCCAGCUGUUCCCAGGACCAGCUGUUCUAGUGCCAGUAAUUUUUCUUUACUCGUAGACCAUUGUUCAAUCCAAAUAGCUUGGUCAGCCAACCACCUUAGUGGUAAGGCUGUGGAGUUUUUAUCAGCAGUGGCUUCCCAGCAUGAAGUUGAAAAGACGGCAUCUGCUGUAUUUUUGUUUAUGGACAGCCUAGACAGUCUGUAACUGUUUUUGAUGGCAUUUUAAAAAUAAUUUUAAUUUCUUUAUCAGGAGUAUUACCUGUUUUUUGGCUUGCCUCUGAAAUUGGGGGAUGUUAAUCUGGGUUUGUGGGGGGAUGUUAAUCUGGGUUUUCCUUGGUUGUAAUAGAUCUCUUUCCCAUAAGUUUAUGGCUAUCUCAGCUACGUAUGGCCCUGAUUUUCUUAUUUGACCUUCUGGUCCUGUACAUUUAAGCCACCUGACACUUUGUUUUACUUUAGAUAAAGUUCCAACUCCUUGGAAUUGCAUAUCAACCUCUUGAAGUGGCCAAUUUGGGGACCAGGAUUUAGGAGUGAUGGUUGCGACAUCAGCCUCAGUAUCCACCAUGCUUUCAAUUUCAAUAUUACUUAAAUUUAUCUUUAACUUUGGCCUUUGAUCAUCUAUAGAGGUUUGCCAGCAUAUUUGUUCUUUGUUUCCUUCCUGUUUUUUUUUAUUUAUUUAUCUAUAGAACUUGCUCUGACCUAUCUGAUUUUUUAAUGUCUAAUUUUUAUUCCCAGAGCAGUGGUGGUUAAUUUUCUUGUGGAGGAGUAUCCCUGUCCUGUAUUGCGGCCUUCGAAGGGCCCUCGUGGGAGUUUUUUGAUAAAGGAUCACUCCAUUUAUCUGUUGCUGCUCUACCUUCACUAGGCCAGUGGUGAUCCUUGCCACAUCUUCUGCAUAUUCUAGGAAGCAUGUGCUCCUUUUUCGAAUUAUUUUGGUUUUCCUUGUAAUUUCCUUUGUAGUAACCUCGUCCACCACAAUUAAGACAUUUCCUAAGGUCUUUAGGGCUAGCUUCUCCUAUCAAGGUCAUACUAGGUGAGUGAGGUCUGAUGUCAAUCCUAUUUCUAAUCUAUUUGUCUGUUGGUGCAGAUCUUGCUCUUAAUGGCCUUAUUGCCUCUUUGCAUUCAGUAUUAGCAUUUUCAUAAGCUAAAUAUCCUAUUAGUGCCUUUUAGCUAGUGGAUCUGAUAUACUUCUAUCCACAGCUGAGGCCAAUCUUUGCAAAAAGUUAGUGAAUGUUUCACUUGGACCUUGUAUGACCUGGGAGAAUGGCUCAAGCCUUUUUCCUGAUUCCUCAACCUUGUCCCAGGCAUUUAAGGCUGCUAGGGUGACAUAAUGCUAAGGUUUCUUCAUUAUAUACAGCUUGCAUCUCUGUGUCAGCACAUUGGCCAUCACCAAGCAGCUGUUCCUUAGAAUCACUAACACCUCUGGCUCUAUUUUUGUGUGCUAUCUCUCUAGCCUCUUCUCUCCACCAUGAAAACCAUUGUAAAUAUGGCCCAGGUUCUAAUAUUGCCUUUGCCAUAUCCUCCCGGUCCUUUGGGAUUACUCUACUUCUGAUUGACCAGGAAGUCAGCAUUUGUUUUAUGAAUGGUGAGUGCAUUCCAAAAUUAGUGACACUUUCCUUAAAUUUCCUCAGAGCUAGCACUUCCACAGGGCGCCAUUCAGCUUCGUGAUAAUCCAGUGGAUGAUCAUCAUCUGCUGGUCUCUGCUAUAUACUGACUGGAUAAACUAACGUUUGUUUUCUAACCACCUUUGGCUGGCCUUCUUUAUUUUUAUCUUUCGCCUCUGCCUGAGGCGAAAGAUAAAAAUGUUCUUUACUUAGUAUUCUAAACUCUUCUCUUAAGGUCUGUACCCAUAUUUCACACCUACCUUUCUGUUGUUUGUUUUGUUCAAUAAUCUCUUGUUUUAUGCCUCACUUCCAACUUUUAAUUUUUUCUUUAUAUUGUUCUAGUUGUUCUUGUGCUGUUCCAGUAUCUUUCCUAAAGCCCUUCCUUGCCUUUGAGAAGACAUAAAAGGCUGAUCCAAUGAUUAAUGAGGGCUAUGAAUUAACCAUAGUCAUCAUUUCUAAAUUUUCCUUUAUUUCUGUCUUAAAACUGUAGAAGAGAUUAUCAGCCAAGCUCCAAGAAGCCUGUUUUAUUGUCUCUCCCAUCCUGUCCGCUUUGUUGCCUUAACAUUUGUAAAUAGCAUAAAAGUGUGAUUAUUAAAGUUUACCUGAUCAUAA